UAGAUUUCAUAGACGUUAGGGCCAGAAGGGACCUUGUAAGACCAUUGGAUCCAGCCUUGCUGCCCAAAGUGCAGGAAGUCAACUAGGAUCGAAGGAUCCCAGGAAGAUAAGCAUCCAAAUUGGGUUCUGAAGCUCUAC